CCUGCAGGGCGGCCCGCGAAUUCCACUAGUGAUUGGGGAAAUUUUCCGCAAUGGGCGAAAGCCUGGACGGAGCAACGCCGCGUGAGGGGAUGAAGGCCUCUGGGGCUGUAAACUUCUUUUCUCAAGGAAGAAGAUCUGACGGUACUUGAGGAAUAAGCCACGGCUAAUUCCGUGCCAGCAGCCGCGGUAAUACGGGAGUGGGCAAGCGUUAUCCGGAAUUAUUGGGCGUAAAGCGUCCGCAGGCGGCCCUUCAAGUCUGCUGUUAAAACGUGGAGCUCAACUCCAUCAUGGCAGUGGAAACUGUUGGGCUUGAGUGUGGUAGGGGCAGAGGGAAUUCCCGGUGUAGCGGUGAAAUGCGUAGAUAUCGGGAAGAACACCAGUGGCGAAGGCGCUCUGCUGGGCCAUAACUGACGCUCAUGGACGAAAGCCAGGGGAGCGAAAGGGAUAAUCAUUAG
rnacentral:rRNA from 1 species